UACGUAGGGUGCGAGCGUUGUCCGGAAUUAUUGGGCGUAAAGAGCUCGUAGGCGGUUUGUCGCGUCGACUGUGAAAACUGGGGGCUUAACUCUCAGCUUGCAGUUGAUACGGGCAGACUUGAGUUCGGUAGGGGAGACUGGAAUUCCUGGUGUAGCGGUGAAAUGCGCAGAUAUCGAGAGGAACACCUGCGGCGAAGGCGGGUUGCUGGGCUGACACUGACGCUGACAGCGCGAAAGCUAGGGGAGCGAACGGG
rnacentral:rRNA from 1 species